CCGCGCCUCUCUAGCCCCUCGCUUCCUGCUCAGCAGCGCCUGCGAGUGCCCUCAGUAGCCAUUAUUCACUGGCCGCCGGGGGACAGGAGAUGGCUUUCCUGGUUGUUCCUUGGUGUGUCCUCCACUGACAGGUUGGUGCCUGUGAACACAACUGGGGGAAUCUUCCAGUGUUUCAAGCCUAGGAAGGACAACCCAUGGCUGCCGUGAAGAGAUUCAGUGUGGGGCCAGGGAAGCUGAAAGCAGGGCUAACGGGACUGGUUGAGCAGCUAACAGAGCUUCUGUGAUCUGCUGUCCAUGCUGAACCCAGAGCAGCUUCACACCCGGGCAUGGGAACCUAUCCCUUAGGAACCAUCAGCCAAAGCCUUCAUGAUGCCCCUCCCACCUGUUAAUUACCUUCCUGCCAUCUGUAACUUCAUCAUGCCAAAGAGGUCUCUUCUCAUCCAUUAA